GAUGAACGCUAGCGGCAGGCUUAAUACAUGCAAGUCGAGGGGCAGCAGUUUUGUAGCAAUACAGAAGCUGGCGACCGGCAAACGGGUGCGGAACGCGUACGCAACCUUCCUUUAACUGGGAGAUAGCCCACCGAAAGGUGGAUUAAUAUCCCAUAAUAUAACUGAAUGGCAUCAUUUAGAUAUCAAAGCUCCGGCGGUUAAAGAUGGGCGUGCGUCUGAUUAGGUAGUUGGCGGGGUAACGGCCCACCAAGCCUUCGAUCAGUAGCUGAUGUGAGAGCAUGAUCAGCCACACGGGCACUGAGACACGGGCCCGACUCCUACGGGAGGCAGCAGUAAGGAAUAUUGGUCAAUGGACGCAAGUCUGAACCAGCCAUGCCGCGUGGAGGAUGAAGGCCCUCUGGGUUGUAAACUUCUUUUCUUUGGGACGAAACCCCUGUUUCUACGGGGACCGACGGUACCAGAGGAAUAAGCACCGGCUAACUCCGUGCCAGCCGCCGCCGUAA
rnacentral:rRNA from 1 species